UACGUAGGUGGCAAGCGUUGUCCGGAAUUAUUGGGCGUAAAGCGCGCGCAGGCGGUUUCUUAAGUCUGAUGUGAAAGCCCACGGCUCAACCGUGGAGGGUCAUUGGAAACUGGGAAAACUUGAGUGCAGAAGAGAAGAGCGGAAUUCCACGUGUAGCGGUGAAAUGCGUAGAGAUGUGGGGGAACACCAGUGGCGAAGGCGGCUCUUUGGUCUGUAACUGACGUGAGGCGCGAAAGCGUGGGGAGCGAACAGG
rnacentral:rRNA from 1 species